UUAGUAGUUUCAGAGCAAACGAAACCGAUCUAGCCCAAACGAAAAUGAAAGCCCUUUCGGACUCUUCUCUGUAUGGUCCUUAUCAAGCUCUUUCCUCUUCUAAUCCAUUGCUUAAAGUUUCAUUCACGGGUAUAGCCAUCUGUAAAGGCAUAAACGAGGUGCUUUGUUGACGCCCAUGCUGAUGAUGGUUUACGAGAAAUAUUUGGCCUAAAGCAAGGGUGGCAUUCAUCUUUUGUUAUGGUUGAACUCUGCCAAACACUGCAGUAUCAAAAGAUGACCUGAGAGGUAUGUUGUUCCUCCAACAAGGAUGAUAUUGCUUUCUCCAAGAUUCAAGCAAUGAAUGGGUGAGUCCACUUUCCCUUUCUGUUGGUUAGACGAAAUUUCUAGAUUUUCUUCUCCCACAAAAUUUUCUGCCAUAGGUAUUCUUAAUUGUUUAUUAUUUAAAUUUUUAUUUGUGUUUGCUUGCCUUUGAUUUCCUUUGAUAUUCAUGUUGAUCUCUUUGAUGAUUAUGGUUAGGAUUUGAUGGACUGAUGUGUCUUGAAUUAUUUUUGUACUGGGUAUUUUAGAAUUCAUGGCCAAUUGACUUUACAACCCUGGCUUAUUCCUUUUGUACUCCGAUUGUUUGAUAAAAUUCCCCAAUGAAAAGACUGUCAUUUUUAAAGAAUUUUGGUAUAGUCCUUCAUGAAAUAUGCUUAUUACCAUUAGAAAUGCUUGAUUUAAUUAUCAUAACUCAUUCUUGGACAAUGUUAUUGAUAGUGCUUAGACAUAUUGGAGUUCACCUGUUAUGUUUAUUAAUAACUGUAAAUUUCACUUAUGCUAUUUUGUAUUAAUCGUGUGAUGAAUAUAUAUAUAUAUAUAUAUAUUAUAUUCAUACAUUAUUUAGUUUUGAUAUUCAAUCAUUAUGCAAAAGAAGUUUAGACUUUAGAGAAGCAAAAUGAGCAGAGGUGGAGAGAGAGGUUUCACAACUACAAAAAUCUAGAAGGAUAUUUCAAUGGAUAGCUGAAAAGUAAGUCUGAUGAUGCUUUCAUUUGUGGAAACAAUUAUACUUUCUACAUUGAAGCCUUGCUGCCUAGCUUUCUUUUAGGAAUCCUUUGUUUUUACUUUUCGGUUUCAUCUAGCAAAGUGAAUUCGUUUUUAGAUUGCUUUAGUUUGAAAGAAACUACUUUUGGUACUUACAGAUUUACUCAAAUUUGACUUGGAGCCCAUGUAAAGUUGGAGUUAUGUACGAAUUUUAUGUGCUUAGUUUCUUGUUCUCAAGGAUUACUUACUUUAUACAUUUUAUUUAUUCAUUUUUCUUUAAAUUAGAUUAUCAACCACAUAGAAAAGUUACAAAAAUAAGACAUGGGCAAUGGCCACUAUGAACUAAGAGAGUUCAUAAGGUAUUUUUUAUUAUAGUUGAAGACAAGCAAAACUUAUUAUUACAAUUGUUCUCUACUUUGAAAUCGGAAUUGCAAUGGUGCCCAUAAAAAAAAUGUCAUGAGAACACUUAUUCUUGUAAUGUAUAUGAUUUUUGAGCUAAAAGAACGUCUCAUUUUAUUUUA